UUCUGCCGAUUUUUGCUCUCCUCCAUAGCUGGGUUUUCUUCAACUUUCAAGCUUCAUAGUAAGUGAUUCCAAGCCCCGUUUUUAAUGAUCUUUACGUUUUUGGAGUCCCAGUAACUUGAUUAAGCUUAUUCUAGCAAUAAUUCAACCUAGGGUUCAUAUUUGGAAAAAUACCCAUGGAUGAAAUUUGUGUAUUUUGGUGUUUUAUGAUAUAAUAUAAGGUUUUAAAUUAUGUUAAACAACUUAUGCUACUCGGUUUUAAGUGAAAACGAGUAAAAGGGCUUAAAUUGGAAAAAAAUACCAAUAGUCAUAAGUAUAUGUUAGAGUGUGAUUUUGAUAUUUCCAUAGAAGAGAAAAAUGAUCAGCAUGUCAUAAAAUAUAAGAAAAUAGGAUGAAGUUUAAUUUACGAGCCUUGGGGCAAAAGUGCAAAUAUGUGAAAGUUUAGGGGUAAAAAUAUAAUUUUGCCAAAGUUUGGAUCAAGGACUGUUUUAAUAAAUGUGAAUAUUAAAUAAGUUAAAUUUGCUAUUAUAGAUCAAGAAGAACGAAAUUCGGGAGUAGAUCGGGGAAAAGAAAAAGUAAAGGACUAAAUUGUAAAGUUUAGUCACAUUUUGUAUCAAGGUAAGUUACAGUAAAUAAAUGCAAUAUUAUUUUAUUUUACAUUAUUAUUUUCAACUUCCAGCAUUUAUAUAUUUAUGUUAUGAAAAUAUUUAAAGUCGAAUUUAAGGUGAAGUGACAAAGGAAAAGUGUUAGAAAGCCCCGGUUGAACCCUAGGAAUGUUAGGAUAUUAGGGUUGACAGGACAGAACAGAAAUGAGCCAUGUAAGUCCAUAUUAGAAAUAUGGCUUUGGAGACAGGAUUGAGCCAUGUAAGUCCAUAUUAUAUAUGGCAUUGGAGACAGGAAUAAUUCAUGUAAGUCCAUGUCAAAGACAUGGCAUUGGCAGGAUAUUGAUAGACAGGAACGACCCUAGUAUCCUUAGUAUUCUGAGUGGUUCAACGGGUCAGGAUACGAGUUAAAUUAUAGUGAAUUAACAGCAAAGGAAAAGUAGAUUAUACUUAUGAAAAAGGAAAGGUCAGGUAAGAAAGAAGGUAAGGGAAUAAAGAAGAAGAUAGAAAUUGAGAAGUAAAGAAAUUUAUGAUGUUAGAUGAUAUUAUGCAUAAUUAUCCAUUAUGUUGAAUGUUGUGAUUUAUUUGCUUGUAAGCUUACUAAGCCUAGUGCUUAAUCUCUUUAUUUUCUUCUUCUUAUAGUACUUAUCUAGUCACUCGGGGAUCGAAGGAAACAUCGGAGGCCGAUCACACUAUCAAAGAAAUAACUCAGUAUAAUUAGACGUUUUGUUUUGGGUAUGGCAUGUAUAGAAACUUAGCUACUUUUGGUAUAAUAUGAACAAUGAAUGAUGUGUAAAUACUUGCUAGUGAUUAGCUAAUAAAAUAGCCGAUGAUAUACAUGUUUAUU
rnacentral:lncRNA from 1 species